rnacentral:rRNA from 1 species
UUAAGAAGCUCGUAGUUGAAUUUCGGGGUUAGUAGGUUGGUCAUGCCUCUGGUAUGUACUGGUCUCACUGAUUCCUCCUUCCUGAUGAACCGUAAUGCCAUUAAUUCGGUGUUGCGGGGAAUUUGGACUGUUACUUUGAAAAAAUUAGAGUGUUUAAAGCAAGCUAACGCUUGAAUACAUUAGCAUGGAAUAAUGAAAUAGGACGUUCGAUCCUAUUUUGUUGGUUUCUAGGAUUGACGUAAUGAUUAAUAGGGAUAGUUGGGGG